GCAAGUCGAACGAAGUCUUCGGACUUAGUGGCGGACGGGUGAGUAACACGUGGGAACGUGCCUUUAGGUUCGGAAUAACUCAGGGAAACUUGUGCUAAUACCGAAUGUGCCCUUCGGGGGAAAGAUUUAUCGCCUUUAGAGCGGCCCGCGUCUGAUUAGCUAGUUGGUGAGGUAAAGGCUCACCAAGGCGACGAUCAGUAGCUGGUCUGAGAGGAUGAUCAGCCACAUUGGGACUGAGACACGGCCCAAACUCCUACGGGAGGCAGCAGUGGGGAAUCUUGCGCAAUGGGCGAAAGCCUGACGCAGCCAUGCCGCGUGAAUGAUGAAGGUCUUAGGAUUGUAAAAUUCUUUCACCGGGGACGAUAAUGACGGUACCCGGAGAAGAAGCCCCGGCUAACUUCGUGCCAGCAGCCGCGGUAAUACGAAGGGGGCUAGCGUUGCUCGGAAUUACUGGGCGUAAAGGGAGCGUAGGCGGACAUUUAAGUCAGGGGUGAAAUCCCGGGGCUCAACCUCGGAAUUGCCUUUGAUACUGGGUGUCUUGAGUGUGAGAGAGGUAUGUGGAACUCCGAGUGUAGAGGUGAAAUUCGUAGAUAUUCGGAAGAACACCAGUGGCGAAGGCGACAUACUGGCUCAUUA
rnacentral:rRNA from 1 species